AUUGAACGCUGGCGGAAUGCUUUACACAUGCAAGUCGAACGGCAGCACGGGAGCUUGCUCCUGGUGGCGAGUGGCGAACGGGUGAGUAAUGCGUCGGAACGUACCGAGUAAUGGGGGAUAACGCACCGAAAGGUGUGCUAAUACCGCAUACGCCCCGAGGGGGAAAGCAGGGGAUCGCAAGACCUUGCGUUAUUCGAGCGGCCGACGUCUGAUUAGCUAGUUGGUAGGGUAAAGGCCUACCAAGGCCACGAUCGGUAGCUGGUCUGAGAGGAUGAUCAGCCACACUGGGACUGAGACACGGCCCAGACUCCUACGGGUGGCUG
rnacentral:rRNA from 1 species